UACGGGGGGGGGCAAGCGUUGUUCGGAAUUACUGGGCGUAAAGGGCGCGUAGGCGGCCUGCUAAGUCGGAUGUGAAAUCCCUCGGCUCAACCGAGGAACUGCAUCCGAUACUGGCGGGCUUGAAUCCGGGAGAGGGAUGUGGAAUUCCAGGUGUAGCGGUGAAAUGCGUAGAUAUCUGGAGGAACACCGGUGGCGAAGGCGGCAUCCUGGACCGGUAUUGACGCUGAGGCGCGAAGGCCAGGGGAGCAAACGGG
rnacentral:rRNA from 1 species